GGCCCGGCGGGAUGGUCCGCCUUACGGUGUGUACUGUCUUGCUGGGUCUUACCUCUUGGUGAAGCCUCAUGCCCUUUACUGGGUGUGGGGUCGAACCAGGAAUUUUACUUUGAGAAAAUUAGAGUGUUCAAAGCAGGCCUUUGCCCGAAUACAUUAGCAUGGAAUAAUAGAAUAGGACGU
rnacentral:rRNA from 1 species